rnacentral:misc_RNA from 1 species
GAAAUGCGAUAAGUAAUGUGAAUUGCAGAAUUCAGUGAAUCAUCGAAUCUUUGAACGCACAUUGCGCUCCCUGGUAUUCCGGGGAGCAUGCCUGUUCGAGCGUCAUUAUCAACCAUCAAGCCCUGCUUGGUAUUGGGUGCCGUCCCUGCUGUGGGCGCGCCCUAAAUUGAUCGGCGGUGGUGUUGUAACCUCAAGCGUAGUAGAAUCUCCAGCUUCUAGGUUUCGACGCCGUCUGGCCUCAAGAACCCAUCACCUCAAGGUUGACCUCGGAUCAGGUAGGGAUACCCGCUGAACUUAA